rnacentral:lncRNA from 1 species
UGUGUUACUGAAGGUGCUGGUAGACUUGGAAGAAGAAACUGGAAGACGAUGAGACACACUGACUGGUACUGGAGUCCUGUUUGGCUGGGUCAGCUGAUCUCCUGUAAAGUUUGAUCCUGAUGAACCAGACUGAACUGCAGACCCAAGACUAGGAUGGGCAGUGCUGGCUGAGCUGACAGCAGGGAACCGACUAGGUCCUGACAUGCUUGUCACCGAUGGCAUGGUGGCGAAGCCAGGUCUUCCUUGGGAAACGCUGCUCUGCCCAGGUGACAGGUGUAAUACAGUUGGGGAUGCCUGCUGCAAGGGCAUCUGUCCACCCACAAGCUGAGGAGAGGCAUGAUUGGCUAUCACUGGACUUCCAGAGGCAGCAAAUGUCUGCCCAGACACUAAGUGGACAGCAGUAUUCUGGUUGUUAAGCAUCGGUCCAGUAUAUGGUUGGUUGGUCCUGAGCAUGUUGGAAGAGUUUCUGUUCAACAUGACAUGCUCUGAGGCCACUUGGCCAGAAAUGAGCUGAGAGGGUUGAGUUUGAAGAAGUUGCCCAUUUAUAGUCUGGACGUGGUGUACCGAGUUGGAACUGACAGAAAGGCUUGUAGGUAUAAGGAACUGACUUUGGGGUGCGUGAGGUUGGCCCAUGGGGGAAUGAAUAACAAUACUGCCCCCAGUGCUGCUCACUGCCUGUGAGGUGACUGGCUUUCUUGUGUUCUGUUGGUUUACAAUGUUCACAGACAUGUGUGGACCAA